CCUGGUUGAUCCUGCCAGUAGUCAUAUGCUUGUCUCAAAGAUUAAGCCAUGCAUGUCUAAGUACAAGCCGAUUUAAGGCGAAACCGCGAAUGGCUCAUUAAAUCAGCUAUGAUUCAUUGGAUUGUACCCACACUUACUUGGAUAACUGUGGUAAUUCUAGAGCUAAAUACAUGCACCACGUCUCUGACCGCAAGGGAAGAGCGCUUUUAUUAGUUCAAAACCGGUCGGGCCUCGGUCCGUCACCCCACCGUGUGAAUCUGAAUAACUUGUCGCUGAGCGCACGGUCUCCGCACCGCGCCGCCGCCUCUUUCAAGUGUCUGCCUUAUCAGCUUUCGAUUGUAGGUUAUGCGCCUACAAUGGCUAUAACGGGUAACGGGGAAUCAGGGUUCGAUUCCGGAGAGGGAGCCUGAGAAACGGCUACCACAUCUAAGGAAGGCAGCAGGCACGCAAAUUACCCACUCCCGGCACGGGGAGGUAGUGAACGAAAAUAACGAUGCGAGACUCAAUCCGAGGCCUCGCAAUCGGAAUGAGUACACUUUAAAUCCUUUAACGAGGAUCUAUUGGAGGGCAAGUCUGGUGCCAGCAGCCGCGGUAUUCCAGCUCCAAUAGCGUAUAUUUAAAGUUGUUGCGGUUAAAAAGCUCGUAGUUGGAUUUCAGUUCUGGACUGACGGUUCACCGCCCGGUGCAUACUGUCACGCUCCGAACAGCCACAACAGCCCGCUGGCUCGCACGGGGUGCUCUUCAUCGAGUGUCCCGCGUGUCGGCAGAGUUUACUUGCAAAAAAUUUAGAGUGCUCAAAGCAGGCUACACUUACGGCCUUGAAUGGCCUAUCAUGGAAUAAUGGAAAUAGGACCUCUCGGUUCUAUUUUGUCGGUUUUCUUCGAACCCGAGGUAAUGACUAAUAGGAACAGGCGGGGGCAUUCGUAUUGCGACGUUAGAGGUGAAAUUCUUUGGACCGUCAAGUACGAACACUAAGCGAAAGCAUGCUCCAAGGAUGUUUUUCAUUAAUUCAAGAACGAAAGUUAGAGGUUCGAAGUGGUCGAUCAGAUACCGCCCUAGUUCUAACCAUAAACGAUGCUGACCAGCGAUCCGCCGGCUGUUAUUAUCCCAUGACCCGGCGGGCAGCUUCGGGAAACCAAAAGUCUUUGGUUUCCGUGUGGGCGAAGUUCAUGGUUUGCCAUGCGGAAACUUAAAGGAAUUUGAUCGGUAAGGAGGCACUCUAUCCUAGGAGUGGGAGCCUGCAACGGCUUAAUUUGACUUCAACUACGGAGGAUCGUCUCACCUAGGGCUAUCAGAACCGGAAGGGAUUGACAGAUUUGAGGAGCUACCUUUCUCGAUUUCGGUUUGGGUCUGAUUGGUGCCAUAGGCCGUUCUUAGGUUGGGUCUUGUGCGACGCGAUUUGUCUGGUUAAUUCCGAUAACGCAAUACGAGACUCUGGUCACUUACUACAACUAGUCUGUACGGAUUCUCACUAGCAAUUAUGUUGGUGUUUCCAGUUUUCGCAUUGCUUCUAUCUCUUAGAGGAUAUACGGCGGCAACUUUAAGCCAGCACUGAGUAUUGAGCAAUAACAGGGUUCUGUCGAUUUUGCCUUAGUUUGUUUUCUGGGCGCACCGUGCGGCUACUCUUGACAGAUUGCAAUCGUGUCCUUCCCCCUCGAGAUGAGCGAGGUAAUCCCGUGUGAAUAUCCUUUCAUUGAAUAGGGAUGGGGUUUUUGCAAUUGUCUCCCCAAUGAACGAGGUAAUUCCCAUUAUUCCGCAUCUUGUUCCAUUGAGCUUGCGUAUUGAUUUACUGUCCUGCCUCCUUUUUAACACACCCGUCCCGUCGCUACUAUCCCGAUUGUAAUGAUUAUGUUGUAGGCCUUUCUGUGCACUGGCGCUCUUUUUGUGAAUGCCGGUGCCUCACGCUGGUUAUAACCAGACUCGGCCGCUGGUGCUUUACUCGGUACCGCCUGCGAGCUGACGGAAAGUACUGUCCAACUUUGAUCAUUUUUAGAGGAAGAUUAUAAAAUGUCUCGUUAACAAGUGGUUUCCACGUAGCUG
rnacentral:rRNA from 1 species